rnacentral:tRNA from 1 species
AGGGGCGUGGCUCAAUUGGUAGAGUAGUGGACUCCAAAUCCAUUGGUUGCGGGUUCAAAUCCUGCCGCCCCUGCCA